UACGUAGGAGACAAACGUUAUCCGGAGUUACUGGGCGUAAAGGGCGUGUAGGUGGUUUUGUAAGUCCGCUGUGAAAGUCCAGGGCUCAACCCUGGAAAGCCGGUGGAAACUGUCAAGCUUGAGUCCGGAAGAGGCGAGUGGAAUUCCUGGUGUAGCGGUGAAAUGCGCAGAUAUCAGGAGGAACACCAAUGGCGAAGGCAGCUCGCUGGGACGGUACUGACGCUGAGACGCGAAAGCGUGGGGAGCAAACAGG
rnacentral:rRNA from 1 species